GUUAUUGUAGCUUAUUAAGCAUAGCACUGAAAAUGCUAAGAUGGUAGUCAAACCCAAUAACA
rnacentral:tRNA from 1 species